AUACGUAGGGGGCAAGCGUUAUCCGGAUUUACUGGGUGUAAAGGGAGCGUAGGUGGUGUGGUAAGUCAGAUGUGAAAACCCGGGGCUCAACCCCGGGACUGCAUUUGAAACUAUCAUGCUAGAGUGCAGGAGAGGUAAGUGGAAUUCCUAGUGUAGCGGUGAAAUGCGUAGAUAUUAGGAGGAACACCAGUGGCGAAGGCGGCUUACUGGACUGUAACUGACACUGAGGCUCGAAAGCGUGGGGAGCAAACAGGAUUAGAUACCCUGGUAGUCCACGCUGUAAACGAUGAAUACUAGGUGUUGGGGAGCAAAAGCUCCUCGGUGCCGUCGCAAACGCAUUAAGUAUUCCACCUGGGGAGUACGUUCGCAAGAAUGAA
rnacentral:rRNA from 1 species